GACGAACGCUGGCGGCGUGCCUAAUACAUGCAAGUCGAACGCAGUUGGGAAGGGUGAGUAACACGUGGGUAACCUCCCAUCAGAGGGGAUAACACUUGGAAACAGGUGCUAAACCGAUCCUGAUGGAUGGACCCGCGGUGCAUUAGCUAGUGGGUGAGGUAACGGCUCACCCAGGCCACGAGGCAUAGCCGACCUGAGUGGUGGAUCGGCCACACUGGGACUGAGACACGGCCCAGACUCCUAGGGGAGGCAGCAGUAGGGAAUCGUCGGCAAUGGACGAAAUUCGGACCGAGCAACGCGGCGUGAGUGAAGAAGGUUUUCGGAUCGUAAAACUCUGUUGUUAGAGAAGCGGUAUCUAACCAGAAAGCCACGGCUAACUACGUGCCAGCCGCCGCGGUAAUUC
rnacentral:rRNA from 1 species